CCCUACAUCCUGCGCCUUGUCCUGAGCCUCUCCAGCCUUUCCGGACAAGUAGUUCCCGGCGUCCUCUAACUUGCCCUUGGCGGCACCGGCGGCAUCCUGCACCUUGUCCUUGGCGGCUCCCGCGGUCUCCUUCACUUUGUUGGCUGCAUCUCCCGCCGCAUUCUCCACCUUGUCGACCACGCCCUCCUCGGCGCGCACCACAACGACGGAGCGCGCGGGGGAAGAUCGGAGACUGAAGCUGGAGUGAGCGACGUUCAACCUCAGACCUCCGAGACGGCUGACUGAUCCCAAAUGCACUUGGCUGGUGGAGGAUACCACGUUGAUGGGCUGCACCGCGGCAACGUUCAGGCUGGUCAUCAUGGUCGCCAUUUCUACAGUAUAAUAUUCAACUGAGUGUGAAGCUGAAGACUAUCGUGAACUCUGCGAAGAUAAUAUGAAAUACCUUGGUACUGCAAAGUGGAGACUAAGUCGAUCGUUUACAAAGAAUUACAAUAUGGUCCAGAACCAGGGUGAAAGGUUUUUAAAGCAGAAGGCAGCGGUGGCGAUGGCAAGGAUAAUGCAGCGUUCAUUCCAACUUAGAUGACAGUCAUGUGCAGGCUCGACAAGUGGCUGACCUCGGAAGCCAGGAAGUACUCCGCACGCGGCGCAUCGCCAGUGGUUGGAGUGCGGCGGGACAAUCACGGUCCAGUUGGAGGAUCUAGAUGCUGAGGAAGAAGUUUUCAGAUAAGAUGUUGCCACGGAAUUCCGCUAUAAGUUGGGCUUGUGUUGACACGUCUUUCAAACAUAUUCUCUGGUCCAGUUCCAUCAUGGGUCAUCUUCAGGCUUUCCAUAAAAGCCUAAAAGCAUGUAGAUGAAAACAGCCGUCGAUUGAGCACCACCGGUGGAAUCGAAACUUAUGGAUUCGGAAUCCUAUGAGAACAGUAUUGAUGAACUCCUCUUUGUCAAGCUGAGUAGGUUGUGAUGAAGGUGAAUUUCGAGGAUAUAGUCGAAAUUCAAACGCGUGCAAAUGCGCUACAUUAAUUUCUUUCAUCCACGGAAAAUUUUACUAACACGCUUCUUCACAAUAUUUGAUUUUCACUUCUUGUCGGUGUCAUGGGCUUGGAAAGUUGUGAAGCCUUGUAGAGUAUUCAUUAAGAAUUUGUUUCUACCUUACAGUGCACAAUUUGGUAAAUUUCUUCGUGCUUCGGAGAUGAAAUUCUGAACCUAAUUUAUUCUAAGCUUCAUCUUUGUACUCUUUUGACGUGUUUCUACUUGAAAUUGCCAUUCAACGCUCACAUGACAAAAUUAUUGGUAGCUACUGUAGUAAAUGUCUUCAUCAAAUAAACAUAAUCCCCAGAAGCAUAUUCAAAAUGUACCAUCUUGCAUUCAAGAUCAUGUGUUAUGCCUGUCCAGUGCUUGUUUCACUGGUUACGAACGGUUACAACGAUUCGGUUCUAUGCAAGGUGAAUCAGAAGUGUGAGAAGACAAAACUCAGGUAAAAUUCUAUUAAAGAGCACCUUGAAGCCACACCAAGACAGAAAAUGGUGACCACAGUCCUAAACGUAAUGCUGCUAAACGUAAUUCCCGAGAAAGUGAGGCUUUGCAACAGCACGAAGCAGCAGCACACAAAAUUCUAAGAAAUUUCUCGAAAAUUCCCAUGAGCCUCACAGUCAGAAACGAAAUUACACAGCGCGGAGCAAUUUCAACAUUACCGAAAAAACCUUUACACAUUCAUAUCAAUCACAGGUUUAAUGCGCCAUAAAUUUUAACAUGAUUUGCUUUAAUAGAAUGAAUACACGCAUUGCGAUAGCUGUACAGAGUUUUGCAGCAACAAGAUUUCAUACCUACAAUACGAUACAGGUAACAGCAUAUUUCAACAAUGAAUGCGCUUUCAGCCUACAUUUUACACACUUCAAGACAUUUACACCCAAACUACUCUGUUGAUGCUGCUAUCCUCAGUUGGAAAUGCGGUCCGCACCCUUCUGAGCAUCUCUCUUCAAGUCAUGCGCUGUGUCACGGGCACCAUCCGCUGCAUUCUCAGCCUUUUCCUGCAAAUCCUUCCCCGCGUCCUGAGCGUUGCUCUUCGCCUUCUCUGCAUUCUUCUGCAGCGAGUUCCCGGCAUCGUCUAUGGCAUUCUGAGCCUUGUCCUGCAAACAUCAUCGAAAUGCAUUCAAUCUCAGCGCGAGCCCACAACCAUAUAACAGCAGCAACACCAUCCGGGACAAUGAGAUGAGCACACUGCUCUAAAGUAUGUGAUCGGAGUGAGCUUCGGAGGCAGACGAAAACUUACACCAAGCUUCUCAGCUUCGCUUCUCGCGUCCUUGCUCGCAUUCCUAGCGCUGCCCUCCAAGUCCCUGCCUGCGUCGUCAGCCUUGUCGCCCAGCUUCUCCGCCUCGUUCUGGGCGUCGCGCCCUACAUCCUGCGCCUUGUCCUGAGCCUCUCCAGCCUUUCCGGACAAGUAGUUCCCGGCGUCCUCUAACUUGCCCUUGGCGGCACCGGCGGCAUCCUGCACCUUGUCCUUGGCGGCUCCCGCGGUCUCCUUCACUUUGUUGGCUGCAUCUCCCGCCGCAUUCUCCACCUUGUCGACCACGCCC
rnacentral:lncRNA from 1 species